GGGGGGGGGUUGAUGGGUGGUGCGGCCGUGGAGGGUAUGAACCGCAGGAUUGUCUGCUCCAAGUUCCCAUAGCCGUCCCAGUGGAGCGAGAUCGGUGUUCGCAUCAUCAGGAACUCCACGUUUGCGGAGCGGGCGCGUUUCUCCGGCGAGGACGACUGCGACGCCAUGGAAUUCAUCUUCUGGGCCAUGGUGGAAGCCGAGUCGCCGGAUCCGGCCGUCGCAUGGAAGUGGCGCAAGUUCAAGGCGUCGCAGCCCAUCCGGAUCAACGUCCGUCGCCCCCGAGUGGGUGCGUUGGCGUUUCCUCCAUCGGGCGUGCAGCCUGCUGGGGUUGAACCCCCGACCCUAGAUUAAUCUCAGUCACUGCAGGUGCGUGGCAGGAAGCUAACGCUCCUCGCAUCGGCGACCGCCUUCAUCGCGUGAACCUGGAACCAUCGUGGCCAGGCGAUCGAGGUGAAGUUCCUCUUCCA
rnacentral:lncRNA from 1 species